CGUCUAUAUACGUAUAGCAUAUCAAUAAGCGGAGGAAAAGAAACUAACAAGGAUUCCCUUAGUAACGGCGAGUGAAGCGGGAAGAGCUCAAAUUUGAAAUCUUCAAGGUUUUACCUUGACGAAUUGUAGUUUAAAGAAGUGUUUUCUGUUAGAGUUUGAGUAGAAAAGUUCUUUGGAAUAGGGACAUCAUAGAGGGUGAGAAUCCCGUAUUUGGUACCAUUAUUUUCUAGCUUUGUGAUACACUUUCAAAGAGUCGGAUUGUUUGGGAAUGCAGUCCAAAAUGGGUGGUAAAUUUCAUCUAAAGCUAAAUAUUGGCGAGAGACCGAUAGCGAACAAGUACCGUGAGGGAAAGAUGAAAAGAACUUUGAAAAGAGAGUUAAACAGUACGUGAAAUUGUCAAAAGGGAAGCGUUUGACACCAGUGUUGUUUUUCCGAAAAUCAAUUAAGAGUGGCUUGAUUUUGUGUUGUAUUGACCUUAUCAGCUUUCUUCACUCUUUUUCGAGUCUUUCUUAAUGCACUUUUCGGUUAACAAGUCAACAUCAAUUUCUUUUGUUGUAAAAGGGUAUUUGGAAGGUGGCUUUCUUUUCGGAGAAAGUGUUUAUAGCCUUAUACCUCUACAAUCGGAGAGAUUGAGGUCUGCAGCGUAGAUCCUUCGGGGCUAGAUACACUUGUGCUAAGUUAUAGCUUUUCAUAGACAACUUGUUGACUAUGUUUAGUCAUGUAGCUUACCCGCUUGUGCUAUUUUACCUACGCUUAGGAUGUUGAGUCAUCACACAUCUCU
rnacentral:rRNA from 1 species